AACUGUUCCUCUCUGGAGGUUCAUACCUUCAAACUCAUGGGUCGCGGUUUUCCGACGGCCCUUUUCUUUUUUCUCU
rnacentral:sRNA from 17 species